UGAGUACGAGCUGCUACGGCAGCGAAGUGGGUGAUGUCAAGCUUCCAAGAAAAGCCCUAUACCCGUUAAGGCAUGACGGCCUGUACCCGAAACCGACACAGGUGGGGUGGUAGAGAAUACCGAGGGGCGCGAGAUAACUCUCUCUAAGGAACUCGGCAAAAUGGCCCCGUAACUUCGGGAGAAGGGGUGCCACCGCAAGGUGGUCGCAGUGAAGAGGCCCAGGCGACUGUUUACCAAAAACACAGGUCUCCGCUAAGUCGCAAGACGAUGUAUGGGGGCUGACGCCUGCCCAGUGCCGGAAGGUUAAGGAAGCUGGUCAGCGCAAGCGAAGCUGGCGACUGAAGCCCCGGUGAACGGCGGCCGUAACUAUAACGGUCCUAAGGUAGCGAAAUUCCUUGUCGGGUAAGUUCCGACCCGCACGAAAGGCGUAACGAUCUGGGCGCUGUCUCGGAGAGAGGCUCGGCGAAAUAGAAUUGUCUGUGAAGAUGCGGACUACGUGCACCCGGACAGAAAGACCCUAUGAAGCUUUACUGUAGCUUGGUAUUGUGCCCGGGCUCUGAAUGCGCAGGAUAGGUGGGAGGCUUUGAUCCAUUGCUUGCGGGUAAUGGUGAGCCAACGGUGAGAUACCACUCUUUCAGAGCUAGGGUUCUAACCUUCACCCGUUAUCCGGGGAGGGGACAGUAUCAGGUGGGCAGUUUGACUGGGGCGGUCGCCUCCUAAAAGGUAACGGAGGCGCGCAAAGGUUUGCUCAGGCUGGUUGGAAAUCAGCCGACGAGUGUAAAAGCAGAAGCAAGCUUGACUGUGAGACCAACAAGUCGAACAGGGACGAAAGUCGGCUUUAGUGAUCCGACGGUUCUGAGUGGAAGGGCCGUCGCUCAACGGAUAAAAGUCACUCUAGGAUAACAGGCUGAUCUCCCCCAAGAGUUCACAUCGACGGGGAGGUUUGGCACCUCGACGUCGGCUCAUCGCAACCUGGGGCUGAAGUCGGUCCCAAGGGUUGGGCUGUUCGCCCAUUAAAGCGGUACGCGAGCUGGGUUCAGAACGUCGUGAGACAGUUCGGUCCAUAUCCGGUGCAUGCGUAAGAACAUUGAGAGGAGUUCUCCCUAGUACGAGAGGACCGGGAGGAACGCACCUCUGGUGUACCAGUUAUCGUGCCAACGGUAAACGCUGGGUAGCCAUGUGCGGAGAGGAUAACCGCUGAAAGCAUCUAAGUGGGAAGCCCACCUCAAGAUGAGUGUUCUCAUGGCUUAAGCCAGUAAGGUCACGGGAAGAGCACCCGUUGAUAGGCUCUACGUGGAAGCGCAGCAAUGUGUGAAGCGGAGGAGUACUAAUAGACC
rnacentral:rRNA from 1 species